AAUCAUGAAGUAGCAAAAAGUGGAAGACGGAUGCCAGAGGCCUGAUCACACACAUUGCAUUAUCUCCAAUAUCAUAAGCAACAACAACAACUUUCAAUUUGCUUCUUCAUUUAUUUUUGUGAUUAGCACGCAUGCGCAAAUUUGUGAUGCUGUUAACAUAUGAUUUACGAGAUAAUUAAGACUGGACAGACGCAUGGAUGACGGGUAUGGCGUUGGCAUACAACAUCUCGAGAGAGAAAUACAUAGAUACUUGGGUAGAUAUUAAUAUCAAUCAGAUGAUUGAUUGGCAUGAAACAAUUAGUUUUAAAGCUGUAUGCAUCUAUGUAUUGAUAUCAAUGGGUUGAUACAGAGAAAUGUUGUAUAGUGACUGUUAAUUGUGUCCAUUCAUAGAGAAUACUUUAAUAAAAUUAA